ACACUUACCUGGCAGGGAAGACACCACGAUCGGGAAGGUGGUUUUCCCAGGGCGAGGCUCAUCCACUGCACUGCGGGUGUGCUGACCCCUGUGAUUUUCCCAAAGGUGGGAAACUCGACUGCAUAAUUUGUGGUAGUGGGGGACUGUUGGUGCUCUCCCCUG
ensembl:snRNA U1 U1 spliceosomal RNA